rnacentral:rRNA from 1 species
GACGUAGGGCGCGAGCGUUUGUCCGGAUUUAUUGGGCGUAAAGAGCUCGUAGGCGGCUCAUUGCGUCAACCGUGAAAACCUGCCGCUCAACGGUAGGCUUGCGGUUGAUACGGGUGGGCUGGAGUUCGGUAGGGGAGACUGGAAUUCCUGGUGUAGCGGUGAAAUGCGCAGAUAUCAGGAGGAACACCGGUGGCGAAGGCGGGUCUCUGGGCCGAUACUGACGUGAGGAGCGAAAGCGUGGGGAGCGAACAGG